rnacentral:rRNA from 1 species
ACACAUGCAGUCGAACGAUGACGGUGGUGCUUGCACCGCCUGAUUAGUGGCGAACGGGUGAGUAACACGUGAGUAACCUGCCCUUCACUUCGGGAUAACCUCGGGAAAUCGUGGCUAAUACCGGANAUGANCUCCUUCCGCAUGGCGGGGGUUGGAAAGAUUUAUCGGUGAAGGAUGGACUCGCGGCCUAUCAGUUUGUUGGUGAGGUAAUGGCUCACCAAGACGAUGACGGGUAGCCGGCCUGAGAGGGCGACCGGCCACACUGGGACUGAGACACGGCCCAGACUCCUACGGGAGGCAGCAGUGGGGAAUAUUGCACAAUGGGCGAAAGCCUGAUGCAGCGACGCCGCGUGGGGGAUGACGGCCUUCGGGUUGUAAACCCCUUUCAGUAGGGAAGAAGCGAA